rnacentral:tRNA from 1 species
GCCAGUGUGGUGCAGUGGUUUGAGUGUAGGACUAUGACUCUGGAGACCAGGGUUUGAUUCCCAGCUUGGCCA